rnacentral:rRNA from 1 species
GACAGAGGGGGCAAGCGUUGCUCGGAAUUACUGGGCGUAAAGGGCGCGUAGGCGGAAUGGCAAGUCGGGCGUGAAAUCCUUCGGCUCAACCGAAGAACGUCGAUCGAAACUGCCGUUCUUGAGGAUUGCAGAGGAGACUGGAAUUCCCGGUGUAGCGGUGAAAUGUGUAGAGAUCGGGAGGAACACCGGUGGCGAAGGCGGGUCUCUGGGCAAUUCCUGACGCUGAGGCGCGAAAGCGUGGGGAGCAAACGGG